rnacentral:tRNA from 1 species
UAUAUAGUAUAUUAUUAUAUUUGACUUCCAAUCAAAAGAACUAGAAACCUAGUAUAGAUAA